CUCCUAAGGCAGCAGUAGGGAAUCUUCCGCAAUGGGCGAAAGCCUGACGGAGCAAUGCCGCGUGAGUGAUGAAGGCCUUCGGGUCGUAAAGCUCUGUUGAGGGGGAAGAAUGAUUCAUCCGAUAAUACCGGAUGAGUUUUGACGGUACUCCUCGAGGAAGCCCCGGCUAAUUACGUGCCAGCAGCCGCGGUAAUUC
rnacentral:rRNA from 1 species